UUUAAAAAGAGGUGAUAAAGUUAUGGCUUGAACUUUAACAGAGUAAGCAGGUUUGAUUUCUCAGAAUCUGAGAAUCUGAGAAGGGAGUGUGAUUAAUGGAUCAGCCAAAGCACACCUCAUCACACGCGGGACGUAACAUGAGGAGCGAUAAGUCAUCGGAAUGAGUUUAUUCUGUAAACAAAAUGAGAGACGAGCUUCGAAGCACACACAAUUAUCCGUGAAGUUUAUUCAAAUUAAAUCAUACGGAUAAGCAGAAGGAUUUCUAAGAAAUGCAAACCAGGCCAUGUGUUUGCCCAGAAUGAUUCAGCAAAAUAUUAAAUGAACAAUUUUCCUCUUACCUCAAAUAUAAUCAAUCAGCCAGGACAUGCUUUUUUUUUUUUUUUUUUUUUUUUUUAAUUAAUUUUCAAUAGAAUUUAAUGACACCCAAAAUCUACAAACAUAAACAAACCUUAAACUGUGUAGCAGAACAUGUAGCAUUAUGGAGGCGGCCAUCUUGGAAUCACUAUUUACUAAAGGAUAAGUGGUGAAACCUCUAAAAGGUCAAAGUUUGUGAAACCUUCCGGAGCAGAACAGACUCAUUAAAGUGGAGGACGUUGAUAACAACAGAACGACGUCACAAAUGAUCUGUCGGAAAGUAAGAAAAACGUUAGAGGAGGAAAGAGAGAUAAAGAUAAUGAACAGAAGUGGAGGAUAAAGAGAGGACGAUUUCUGAUGAGGUCAUCUGGGUGCAGCACUGAGAGGACAGAUGGAGAGAUGAAGAAAAAGAGAAAAUAUGUACAGGAGAAGUCAAGGGAGCUGGACUACCGAGCUUUGCUAUGACAUCACUUGGAGCAGCCGUAUCAAGUGUUAUUGCGUCAUGUUGACAACAGAGAGUGAGAAGGGCUUCAGAGGGGAGAAUGUCCAUUAACAUCCCCUGAGACGUCCCUGACAUGGGAGCUCUCCGGAGGUUCGGCGUUCUGAGACCACAUACGACUGAACGAUAGGAGUACAAAGUCAAGUCUCCUCAUCUCUCCUCAACUCCUCAAAUUGCAGUUACGGCACUUCAUGCGACAGUCGACGGCUUUGAGAGAUUGCAUUGUGGAAAAUCAAAAAGAGAAGACGUAGGAGAGUCCCCAUUGGCCAAUAACCACCUAGAGACAACGAGAAGAACUACGAGAAGAACAUUAUCAGGUAUGCUUCCAUAUCAACCUGUUUCCGUAUAUGUUUCCAUAUCAACCUUGGAGUGUAAGUGGUGAGUAAUUUUAUCUAAUUUUCUCUGUAAUUAUUGGUUAUAAUCCAUGUCACAUGGCCUGUCCUUAUUCAAAACUAGAUGAAAGCUAAUAAGGCCAAAACACUGCAAAGACAAAAAAGCAUGCUAGCAACAAGCAAAUAGCAAUGCUGUGAAGAAACUAGCACGACUCAGAGGGAGUAAGUAGAGAGGGCAUGAGAUCGUAUAUUAGAAAAAGGCGAAACAAACCAGAAACAUGUGGAACUGACUAUCAGUGGGCAGAGCCAAUGAAGACCUGUUUCCUCAUCUGUCAAAAGGUAGACAUAUUUAGCUUAAUUUUGAAAAUUUGCAUGUCCAGUAUACAAUGUACAAUAGGUAUGGCUAAUCUAGACUCGUCCGAUGUACAUUGUGCUACAGUUAGCUAGCUACACUACAAGCUAUGAACUUUUGUGCACGUCAAAUUUCAACAUCGACAGUUUUACAUUUUAGUGCCAUUUAUUGUUCUCAUUACACCAUGAUAUAGUGUUUUUGAUUCUGUUACUAGUGUUUAAACUGGAGAUGGUCGUGGAAGAUUUGUAGUAUUCCCCAGAAAGUCUGGUACAGUUCAUGCCUAAAGGUGACCAAAAACCACCUACCUUUACAGAAACAAGCCAUAUGACAUUGCAGAUGACUAUAAUGUUCCCUUUAGCCUGUUGGCAAACAUGCAGAAUUAUCAUAUUUAUUUUCCUCGCUUUCAUGCAACACUCUGUAAAUUCAGUUAAUAUAUCUUGCUUUGAUAAGCUCACUAUGUCACAAUGGUCAAAUGUUUUCUUCCCCCUGGAAACUGGAGAAUGGAAGUGCAUAUUUUUUGUACUUGAGAUGCUCUGGGUGUCUAAUCUAACUUCCGAAAACUGUUCCAAAACCCGUUUUAACGCUGAGUGAACUGUCUGCCAACACGUGAGCAAAAACACACAGCAUGCCGACAAGACACACACCUGAUCGCAGCAGGGGUCACUGAGUCAGGGGCGCACAAACAUGGCCUUAAAUUUCAUCCUGAAGGACUUGUUGACGUCAGCAUCAGAGAGGAAAAGGUGGAGUGUAGAGCAAGUUACUACACAAUUCACUUGUGAUUUCCAUUAUGGCAGGAAAUAUUCUUUCAGGUUACAAAAAGAACUGAAGGCAUAAAGGAAACCCGGACAAAAGCUUGCACACGUGAUACAAUAGCACUGCGGGAAGCAGCAGCGCCUCAUUCUGACUCUCGGUGCACAUUCUACGACGAUAACAGAAAGACAGGAAAAUAUGACAAACUUCCUUUAAUUACUGACCUGAUUCAAAAGCCGCUACACUUCAUUAAGCAGCCUGGCUAAAUCAGAUAUGGGCCUAAUCUGGGACUGAUCCGCUGAAAAAGCAGGUGGUUCUCUAAUGGUUAGAAAGUGCGUGGAACAAGUGACCUGCAAAUGAUUCUCGAUAAUAUCAUGAAAAGAAUUGGAAAUCCAUUGGACAACUUUGAAUCCCACUGAAACACCAUUAAGACCCAUUAUAUAGUGAUUUCAACACCUAAUGGAAAACUGGAACGGUCACCAUCACACUCCAUUACUUUAUUAUUUAAGAUCAAAGAGACUGUGACUGAUUCUAGACGCUUUUGAUACAUUUCCUACAUGAUUCAAAGCUAAAUAUUGUGAAAUCCCAUUGGAAAACCAUCAAGCACAUGGACACAUUACAUUUUUAAUAUCAGCACCAAAUAGAAACCAGGAAAUAACAUUACUAACCAUGGCAGAGCCACUAGGAAACAUAGAAAUUUUUCUGUUCCCUUAACACAAUGUAAAGAGUCCUAUAGAUUUAGAAGGUGACCUGUGAAUGAAGACAUGUUUGAUUGGUUUUCCAACAAGGGGUAAACAUUAAAAGUAAAUAUCCUGAAUCCCAUUGGACAAACCAGUGUCCCACUUUAAAUUCCAUUGAAAAAACAUCAGAUAUGUCUACGACUCAAUGCUAAAUACUGUGAAUCUCAUUGGAAAACCAUCAAACAUGUCUAGAUUCAAAGCUAAAUACCAUGAAUCCCACUGGGAACCCAUCAAACACAUCUAGAAUUAGUCACAGGUCACCUUUUAAACCGUUAGGACACACAUUUUAAUAUCAAAAGAAAACAGGGAAUAACAUUACUAACCAUUACAGAGCCACUAGGAACCAAGAGAAAUGUGUUCUGUUCUCAUAUCCCAGAGUAAUGUGUCCUAAAGUUUUAACAGAAGGCCUGUGAAUGAAAGACAUUUGAUGGGUUUCCAACAAGAUGCAAAAGUAAAUAUCCUGAAUCCCAUUGGAAAACUGUAAUGUCCCACUUUAUAUUCCACUGGGAAACCAUCAAAUACGUCUAGGAUUCAAAGCUAAAUACCAUGAAUUCCAUUGGGAAACCAUCAAAGACGUCUAGAAUUAGUCACAGGUCAACAAUUACACCAUUAGUACACAUUACAUUUAAUAUUAACACCAAAUAUAACACAGGAAAUAAAAUGACUAACUAUUUCAUAACCACUAGGAACCACUUUUCCAAUGUUCCCAUGUGUCCCACUUUGAAUUCCAUUAGAAAACUAUCAAAUUUGUCUAGGAUCAGCAAUUGUUAAACUUGCAUUAUCCAUUAUGUUGUUACACCAUAUAGAAAGAAGAACCACUAGGAAUUAGUAGUAACGUGUAAUGAAGUGCGGUGGUCUCUGAUGGUGUCCUUGCAGUAAUAGGUUGUGGUUUUAUAGUAAUAUCAUCAUAUACCACGGUUUUAUUAUCCGGUUAAGUCAAUUCCCAAUAAUAAAUGAAUAUUUCAAAACUAAACAUCAGCUUUUAAAAGGAGAGCUUUGCAUUUAGGGGAGAAACCCUGGUUCCCAAUCUGUACCAAAGAGCAAAUAUCACCUACAGCGCUGUAACAUCCGUAUAUGGAAAAGGUCAAACAGCUAACAUUAUGGCUCAGCAGGAGGUCAUCCACCGCCUUCCACCUUCCAGUCAUUGAACUUAUUGUACCGUUGGCUUAUGCGAUAGACCAUUAUGUUCACAACGUUGCUGUGGUGAAAAUUUCAAAUCCUUGUCAUGUUCCAUUCAGAAGCAGGCUAUCUAACGCCAUGUCACAUUGACAUUUAUAAACAAGAGCACAGAUAACCGCUAGCCCUGCUAACAACUUGCGACUAGCCAAGCUAACAGCUAGCCACACUUCACGAAAGCCAUAACAGAUACAUGAAGUACAAACAUAUUUUUGUAACAUAGAGGACAGUUGUCUUCAAAUGUUCUUUAUUUAGGGUGUUUUGCUCUGUUAGUGAUGGCAUACACACUAGUUGGACCAACCUAAAAAUGUUUUGUGUUAUUUGAGCCAAAAAUGCUAUUUUUAUGCCAUUUUAUCACAUUUUAACAUCAGUUUCAAAUCUGUGUUUAAAAUGUCCUCUUGUUGGGCUAUUUUUCAUACAUGUCUCUCCCUAUUCAAGUAUAUAAGAGUCUGGUCUUGUAGCUACCUUGCUAACAUACACUAAUCCAUACUAACAAGAUAUUUAAGAAAACCUCUGUGUAAAAAAACAAUCAAAAUCUCCUUCUGAGGGCUGGAUUCUCACUCUGAAACAUGUGUAUUAUUGAAACAGGAUGUAUUAUUGACUUAAUAUAUGGGCUACAAGACAUCACUGUAGCUCAUCAUUGAGGUACAGCUAAAUAUAUAGUAAUGAUAUUAAUAUUGUAAAUGAUGCCAAGAUGUCAGCCGAUUUUCUUGGCAUGGAAAUGAAAUGUUGGUACAUGCCUAGCGCAGUUCACUCUGCCAUGGAUAGCAAAUUAGGAGUGCGGUGUUCCUGCGUUUUGCUCUGUAAACACUUACACACCUGUUAGCAGUGACUCACACAUGGUGUCGUCUAGAAAUUAAGAUUUUUUUUUUUCCUCACAGAUGGUCAGUGUGUUGUAAAGCUAAAGCACUAAUCCAGAAUGGCACCAAUUAAACAAACAGUUACCAAAACCUUCAGUUAGCACCAACAGCGCAUUAGCAAUAACUGACUUAGCAUUUCCUGAGCACAGUACCUUAUAAUUAUAACAUUUUUUUUCUUUAGAACGUUAUCGUACAUAUAGAUUGGAGCAAGAGGCAUUUAUAUGGAUCAAUGAGAUUCUCUAAUCACGUCUUUGAAAGAUUUUGGAUAUAAACAAGCAUCUGUAAUUUUAACUGCAAAAUUCAGGUCAUAGCAUCAUAACCUUUGUUAGCAUAGAUCGCACAAUCAGUGCCAUAUUUUUCAGUAAAAAUAGGAACAAAUCUUCCAACAUCCAUGAAUAAAAAAUAAAAGGAAUAUGAGGGGGAAAGAAUAAAAUUAAUAUCAAAGAGUCCUGAGUCAUAUGUGCAAACAUUAUUGCUGGGCGAUAUGAUGAUAAAAAUAAUCAUACUUUGAUAAAUUACAAAAAUCACAACGCUCUAUUCUUAGACAAUUAUGGAUACAGUCAGUAAUUUUUCAACACUUUUUUAUACCACAAUGUCUCAUUACAUGUCAAAUAAGUUAUUUAUAUAGAUGUUGAUACGUCACUAUACUCCGAUUUCUUUUAAAUAUAGCACUAAUGUUUGGAUGCCAGUGUUUUCUAGGUCAGUGUGAAUGUGAAUAAAGCUUCACCUGGCUCUAGCACCAUACUGCUGUUGCAUUUAAUAACUUUCCAGUCACACGCCUGGUCCUGUGAUCACAUCGCUCAUCACUGUGCCCUCAAGCCCCGUUCUCCUCCUGCACACACAGAGCCCGCCAGCCCGAGACCCAAAAAAACACAGGCUUAUUUUUUAUCACAGUGCAGAGUAAUAAAACGAAGUGAAUGGAAUGAGUUUGACACAAAACACGCACGUUAUCGUUAUGACAUUUAAUGCUUUGUGUAUUCAAGCUAAACCUUCCUGAUCUGUUGUGCCCCAAUUAUGAGCACACAGUCGCCACCAGUAUUAAAAGAACAAACUAAGAGUGUGUAAUGAACAGGGACACACAGAUGAUGCAAAAACAAUUAAUUAGGGGAUGACGGUCAAGCCGGCGCGAUGGGAGAAGCCAGAUUGGAGCUGGAACGCACAGGAAGAGGCCAAACAAAACAAAGAAGAGCUUCAGAAAACAAUCUGAUAUUAUAUCUGUGCAAAUAUGGUGGGAAUGUUGGCGGGCUGAGACGGCUAAUCUACAGCAGGAUAACUGAGGCGUAUGUCUCGGAUCAUUAAGAGCAAUGUUUAUUACCUCACACGAUUCCUAUGAAGUUAUUAUAGAUGGAGUGAUUUAUCGUAAUUCAUAGUUUCUGCAUUCUAAAAACCUGAAAGGAAAUCCCCCAAUUAUGACAAUUAUUCUCAUAAAUUAUGGCUGAACUGUAUGUAAAAUGCAAAGAAGGGAUUUUGAAACAAGUAAUGUGUGUUCAAGUCUUUCCAUGAUGUGUGUUUGACCAGCGUUAGUGACGUCAGCCCGUUGCUCCACUUUACAGUAUUCAUCGUAACAGUAUGUAAGAAAACACACAAUCGUUUUCUUUCUUUGUCUUUUUAUACUUAGAAACGCAAGGAUAUUUUUAAAGGAAAUAUAGCAUGGUGGUCAGAGUCUCAAAAUAGGUCUCAUUUAUUCUAUUGGAUACAAAUUGCUUAAGAAAAAACGUUCAUAUCGUAGGCGUCACACCUGAGUUUGUGUAAAUUUACAUAUAAGGAGACUCACUAAUGUGCACCUCGAUUGGUCAGAGAUUCAAAAUGUAAAAUUGGCGAUGCGUUACUGGGAUUUUUAUGUACAGAUUACGUAUGUGAAGUAGCUGGAAGAAGGAGGAAGCGUUAAUGUAGCCGACACACUGCAAUGGCUGAACUGUAUUAUUGGAAGAUAUAGCACACACAGAAGAAAAUGGUGUAUGUGUGGAUCUUGCUUUUUGUACACUGUGUUCCUAGCUAGCUAGUCACAAUCCUUGUAGUCCUGUAUGCUAACUUCAAGGCAAGCUUUUACGUUUGAUCGACUGUAAAAAUAGCAGGCUGUAAUUUAUUUGCCAAAAAAAGACUAGAUUAUUUAUAUCCAGUUAACAAA